UACGGGGGGGGCAAGCGUUGUUCGGAAUUACUGGGCGUAAAGGGUUCGUAGGUGGCUUGCUAAGUCAGACGUGAAAUCCCUCAGCUUAACUGGGGAACUGCGUCUGAUACUGGCGAGCUUGAGUGCGGGAGAGGAACGCAGAAUUCCAGGUGUAGCGGUGAAAUGCGUAGAUAUCUGGAGGAACACCGGUGGCGAAGGCGGCAUUCUGGACCACAACUGACACUGAGAGACGAAAGCCAGGGGAGCAAACGGG
rnacentral:rRNA from 1 species